UUGACCUCGAAUCAGGUAGGAAUACCCGCUGAACUUAAGCAUAUCAUA
rnacentral:rRNA from 2 species